ensembl:lncRNA
AUCUUUAUUCAUCAGUACUUGCCAUUAUAAUGAGGGUCCAAACAGCUGAUUAAAAGAUCACAAUAUUUUGAAAUUUGAAGUUAAAACAUCUUAAUGCUGGAUGUGUUUCAUCUUUUGUCUUCUCCAGAUGAAAGUGAAAGUGAAAGUGAAAGUGACGUGACAUUCAGCCAAGUAUGGUGACCCAUACUCAGAAUUCGUGCUCUGCAUUUAACCCAUCCGAAGUGCACACACACAGAGCAGUGAACACACACACACACUGUGAACACACACCCGGAGCAGUGGGCAGCCAUUUUAUGCUGCGGCGCCCGGGGAGCAGUUGGGGGUUCGAUGCCUUGCUCAAGGGCACCUAAGUCAUGGUAUUGAAGGUGGAGAGAGAACUGUACAUGCACUCCCCCCACCCACAAUUCCUGCCGGCCCGAGACUCGAACUCACAACCCUUCGAUUGGGAGUCCGACUCUCUAACCAUUAGGCCACGACUUCCCACAAAACAGUCCAAACAGGAUUGUUUGGACAGAUGUUCACUGAUGGACUGGAGUGGUGUGGAUUACUUGUGGAUUAUUGUGAUGUUUUUAUCAGCUGUUUGGACUCUCAUUCUGACGGCACCCAUUCACUGCAGAGCAUCCAUUGGAUCCUGUUUGGACUGUUUUAAGGUAUGGAACCAACUUGCAGAAAUGGGCUUUAUGUACUUCUCAGGAAUAUACUUAAAAUGACAUUUAAGUAUACUUGACUUACACUUACAAAAAGUCU